GACGAACGCUGGCGGCGUGCCUAAUACAUGCAAGUCGAGCGGACUUUCAAGAAGCUUGCUUUUUGAAAGUUAGCGGCGGACGGGUGAGUAACACGUGGGCAACCUGCCUGCAAGACGGGGAUAACUCCGGGAAACCGGGGCUAAUACCGGAUAAUAUCUUCCUUCGCAUGAAGGAAGGUUGAAAGGCGGCGCAAGCUGCCGCUUGCAGAUGGGCCCGCGGCGCAUUAGCUAGUUGGUGAGGUAACGGCUCACCAAGGCGACGAUGCGUAGCCGACCUGAGAGGGUGAUCGGCCACACUGGGACUGAGACACGGCCCAGACUCCUACGGGAGGCAGCAGUAGGGAAUCUUCCGCAAUGGACGAAAGUCUGACGGAGCAACGCCGCGUGAGCGAAGAAGGGCGUCGGAUCGUAAAGCUCUGUUGUCAGGGAAGAACAAGUACCGUUCGAACAGGGCGGUACCUUGACGGUACCUGACCAGAAAGCCACGGCUAACUACGUG
rnacentral:rRNA from 1 species